GUGUAUUUUAUGGUCUAUCUCAUUGUAUUCGUUUUAUCUGUACAGUACACCAUACGAAGAUACAGUAUUCCAAGGGUAGACACCACCUUUAGACAGUGCAAAUGACCGCACUGAACCACUACCCCGUCAUCUUCACCGUAGCGGUAUCAAAACUAAACGCAGAGCGAAUAUCAAAGGUUCGUUAUCCCAUUGUUAACGUCUCUCUCUCUCUCUCUCUCUCUCUCUCUCUCUCUACCAAUCAAUGUCACGAUCAUAGCUUCGAAAACGAAUACACAUUCCAUACAUUUCGGCGUCGAAACCGGCUCUGCAUCGCGUUCACUUUUAAUAGGUUCCAAGCUACUAAUCUAAUUGCUCCGAAUCGGUAACUACAUUUCAUUUCGUGUUGAUUUAUGAAGUUGUGCUGGUACAUUAAUUGUACUUUUGAACAUCACAAGGAAGGUAUUGACAACAUCCACACAUGACCGGAUGUGAAGCGUUGUGUGUUACAUCAAUGAUUGUUGACUCAUGACAUGAUAUUUUAUGUGAUAGUUGCCAUAUCCAACCGAAAAUAUGGCAACUAUCACAUAAAUUAUCAUGUGAGUCAUGUCAUGACUCAUGACAUGAUAUUUUAUCUGAUAGUUGCCAUAGUCAACAAUCAUAGUUGCCACAUCAUGGGAACAGUUCAGAACCCAAGGGACAGCUUAUUUCGAUUGAUGGAAAAACAAAGGAUGAGGUUUGUAGAGGUUUGGAGAGAGUGCUUCUUAAGAUGGAGAUAACAACCUCAAAACUUAAGGUACUGCAUAUCCAUUCUGCCUGUAUCAAAUUAGGAUACAUUCAUUGGAGAACUUUGCUGACGGACUGUACUUUUUCUCGUUUAUUUGUUUUUUCUUAUUGUGAUUUACUUCAGAAGAACAUCUCAUUCUUUUCUGUUGAACCUUUUCUUUCUCUCAUGUCAUAAUUUUUUUUCUCUUAUAUUGGAAAAAAUUAAAAUAAUUCAGUAAUAGGUUAAUCGAAUCUUCAUUUUAGAGUCUGCAAUCUAUUGAAUAUGAUGUAUUGAAAUUACUAAGUAAUUGAUAGGUACCCGUCCAAUGCAAAAUAGAUUUGGGACUAUUUCUGAUAUUGAUUGAUACAAACAGAUUUAACUUAAUAGAAUCACACAAAUUUCACAUAAUAACUACGAUUUCAAGAGCCUUGGCCUUUACCCUUUCUAAAUGUUGAAGAGUUUGGUCUCUCUCACUAACCACCUAGUUCCAAGAUAACCCCCUCUAUCUGGCCCCUUUUCCUAUUUAUUCUUAUUACAAACUGCUAUUAGAGGAUAUCUUGGAAUUUGGUUGGAAAUGGGUCAUUUUGCUAUUAGAGGAGGUGUAGACCCUCGAAGUUAAGGAUUUUCCCUAUUUCUUUUUGUGUAUCAGUUGAUAUCUAUCAACCGGUAUGAGAGCACUUUUGAUCCUGGACAGAAAAAAAAGGGAAAAAAUUGAGUGGUCAUCAAAUGGAAGGAAUGUUUGGUAUUUUUGAUGAUAUGUUGAAGGAAUUUAUAGAUUGGAGAAGAGUACUCAAAGAGUUACGGAUGACAAGGUUGAGAAAUAUUUUGAUGCUGGAGGUUUAUAAGAAGAAAAUCAAAUACCAAAAGUUGUGCGGUGGAUGAGUGGUAGAUAUGUUGCAUAGUACCAAUUAUGGGUUUCAGGCAAUUCAAUUGCCACUUGGGGAAAUUUUACAAAGGCAAUUUUCAAGCAAUUUCGGCCAGAAACUGAUUCAAUAGAGAAUGAAGAAGUGGAAUCAAGGAAUUAUCAAGAAAACAUUAUAUCCCUGGUCGUAAAAGAACGAUAGGCAAUUUUAUCAUUAGUAGGCAGUUUUUAUUAAAGAUAACGGUCAUUUGUAAUUGCAGUAACUAUCAUUUGUAACCGCAAUUUUAGAAUAGGAAUUAAUUAAUUUGGAGAAUGAGAGUGUUGCCUAUAAAUAGAGGGGGUGAUUGAGAGAGAGGAUAUCUUGGAAUUUGGUUGGAAAUGGGCCAUUUUGCUAUUAGAGGAGGUGGAAACUCUCAAAGUUAAGGAUUUUCCCUAUUUCUUUUUGUGUAUCAGUUGGUAUCUAUCAACUGGUAUGAGAGCACUUUUGAUCCGGGACAGAAAAAAAAGGGAAAAAAUUGAGUGGUCAUCAAAUGGAAGGAAUGUUUGGUAUUUUUGAUGAUAUGUUGAAGGAAUUUAUAGAUUGGAGAAGAGUACUCAAAGAGUUACGAAUGACAAGGUUGAGAAAUAUUUUGAUGCUGGAGGUUUAUGUUAAGAAGAAAAUCAAAUACCAAAAGUUGUGCAGUGGAUGAGUGGUAGAUAUGUUGCAUAGUACCAAUUAUGGGUUUCAGGCAGGUAGAUAUGUUGCAUAGUACCAAUUAUGGGUUUCAGGCAAUCCAAUUGCCACUUGGGGGAAUUUUACAAAGGCAAUUAUCAAGCAAUUUCGGCCAGAAACUGAUUCAAUAGAGGAUGAAGAAGUGGAAUCAAGGAAUUAUCAAGAAAACAUUAUAUCCAUGGUCAUAGAAGAAGGAGAAAAGAAGAGAGCUCUAAUAAAAAUUGAGGCUUUGAGUUUGUUGUUUCGGAUUGCUCAAAGGUAAAAGCAAAAGUGAAGAAAGGUGAAUAAUUAUAAGGAGUUAGUGGAAAAUUAUUAGAAUAAUUAUAUUAUUAAUUAAGAGUGUUUAGGUUUAGAAUAAAUAGGGGAACACAUUGGGGAGUUGAUCAAUUUGGAAUUGAAUAGGAAAAUGGGCCAUUUUGGCAUUGGGAGGUGCAGACCCUCGAAGUUCUGCGAUACUAUUUUGUAAUUCAAAGGGCUUUUCCCUAUUUUCCUUUAUAUAUCAGUUGGUUUCUAUCAACGGGUAUUAGAGCAAUUCUGAUCCAGAAAGAUUCUACCGUUGUGCUGGAAAUUUUGGCAUAAAUAUGGCUGCUGAUAUGAUUCCAAGAUUUGAUGGAAGAGAGGCCUAUUGGUGGUUGAUCCAAGCAGAACAAUAUUUUGGGUCAAGAAGAAUGAGUGAAGAGAUGAAGCUUGAGUGGACUGUUGCAUUUGCAUUGAGAGGAGAUGCUCUUGAUUGGUGGAUUUCUUGGAAGGAGAGUCAUUCAAAUACUUGUUGGUGGAAUUUUGUAAAGGCCAUUCUCAAGAAGUUCCAACCAUAAGUUUGGGAUUGUCUACUGGAGUCUGAAAACGAAACACAGGAAAUCCAAGGCAGCGAUGAAAUUCAAGAACCAAUAGCAUCUCCAACUGAAGAAAAGAAUAGUGGUAAAGUUGAAUAUUCACAAAUCCAACAAUACAGUGAAAAAGAAGUUUGUAAAGUGGAUAUCAAAUCUGAUUGCGAGGGCGACAAAGUGAAAAAUACAGAUUCAUUGAUGGCUGUCAGUGAAGCAGAGGUCCAGAGAAGUGAUGGAGAUUCAGCUAUUUCAUCACAAGCAAAAGACUCACUAUCGUUGGUGUUUGCUACUAUUCCUAAGAUAAAGUCUAAGAACAAGAAAUUUCCACUACCGGUGCCACUGUGGCCACAACAACUGGUCACAAGAGGACUGCUAUUAGCAAGAAAAUUUCCUAUUUCAUGUACAACUCACCCUUUAUUUUUCAAAUUAUGGGAUCCAGGAGGAUACAUUUUUCCUUCCGUGUAUUUCUUUCACCCUGAGGACAAGGUGAAUCUUUAGGGGGGAGUAUUGUUAGACUCUUCAGUUUUGUAACUGAUAUUAAAUUAUUAGGAGUUAGUGGGAAAUUAUUAGAAUAAAUAAGGGAAGAUAUUGGGGAGUUAAUCAAUUUGGAAUUGAAUAGGAAAAUGGGUCAUUUUGGCAUUGGGAGGUGCAGACCCCCCUCGAAGUUCAGCAAUACUAUUUUGUAAUUCAAAGGGGUUUUCCCUAUUUUCCUUUAUAUAUCAGUUGGUUUCUAUCAUAUUGUUAGUCACGAGGCAUCUUAAUUAGGAUAGUAAAGGUCUUGUUAGUAAAUAGAAGACAAUUUUAUUAUUAGUAGGCAGUUUUUAUUAAAGAUAAAUGUCAUUUGUAAAUGCAGUUUUAGAAUAGGAAUUAAUUAAUUAGGAGAAUGAGAGUUACCUAUAAAUAGAGAGGGUGAUUUAGAGAGAGGAUGGAAUUUGGUUGGAAAGGGGCCAUUUUGUCAUUAGAGGAGGUGCUGACCCUUGAAAUUCUGCGGUAUUAUUUUGUAAUUCAGAGGGAUUUUUCCUAUUUCCUUUUGUGUAUCAAUUGGUUUCUAUCACAAACAUACACACUGAAAACAAAUAAAACAUAACUGCACAAUAACUGUCAAAUAAAAAAUAACUGCAACAAAUAAAAUAUAACAGCAUCAAAUAUAACAUAACUGCAAAAACACUAACUCAGGUCAGUAUUUGUCUCGGCCUCUCCUCAUAUGUUAUUUUCUAAUUGAGAGAUGUAACAGGAAUAUAAUCAAAUAUUCUUAAAAUACAUUUUUGAUAUACUUGUAGCUGGCUCCAGCUAACUUGUAUUGCAAUGUAACUGUAAUAAUAGAUUGUGUCAUACAUGUAUAGUGGAAUGCUUAAAAUAUGAUAUUCAAAAUCAGUCAUUGUGCAAUUUUCUUUGAUAGAGUAAAUAUUAUCAGGAUGGUUAAACCCCAGUUCCUCAAUUACCACCAAGGUCAUGAAAGAGUUAUUAAUUAGAUGAUAAUGCAUGUCCUCAAGACCUACCAGUCAUAAACAGGAAACCAAGAUUAAACUAUAAAACUCUGAAUAAGUUGCUAGUAUUUACCCCCAUGACGCAUGUCUCUUCAUUUGUCUCGAGUGUUAUUGGAGAAUGAUGGAAAUUCCCUUGUUUCAAUAUGUUGUUGAUCUUGUUAAUACCUAGGUGGUCUGUAUGUACAACAUACAAACUCUUAAUUUUGUUCUAACAGAAUCAUUUUUCAUGAAAAGGAAUGAUAUGAAGGAUAAUUUGUUUUGUUGCUAUGGCUAAUAUAUUAAUAUGUUCAAUUGGAUUGGCUGUGCAUGUUUGGGUUGGGAGCAAGAUAUUUUAAAAUGUUUUGAAGUUUCUCUUUUGUUCUUGUCCUUUCUCAAACAUGGUGUGGCUUUUGUCGUUGAUGGCCCUACUAGGUGGCAAUAUUCUCAAAGACUGGUAUAUGUUGUUGUAAGACACCAUCACAAAAAGCACAGGUAUAUUAUACACCUUUAUCUGCAUUCAACUGCGAUUGUUUAAUAUGUAAUCCAAUUUAGUUAUUCUUUCUCCCCUUUUCACACUCCUGGUAUGCUUGCUCGUACAGCAAUUUAAGGGGAAGAAAUGGAUAUCUUAUAAGUUAUAUCUUCCUCUAAGUAACUAGGUUAGAAAUGAAAAGUAGAUUUUGAUAGUGGUGAUUCCUAAUUCAUAUAUAAAAUUUGACUGUUUUCAGCUGUUAGCAUGAAUCAAUAAUUGAAGUUUCUUAUUUAUUAUUCUGUUUUGCACCAUUUACGUUCAUUGCAUCCUUAUUACGAGUUAAAAGAUGGCAUUUGUUAGUUAUAAGAAUCACCGUUACUAAUCAAACUCAUUAUUAUUAUGGACUAAUAGUGUCUGUUUUUGUUAUCUCAUGUCUCCACCUUCUCGAAUACAAAAUACCGCCUUUGUACCCAUCAGAAAAGUUAUGCUGGUUUGAUCUGGCACUAUUUUUCACAGCUUGUGCAGAUCUUAAAAUUGUGUGAUUAUAGAACAAUUGCAAUUGGUGUUGUGGGAAUGAUGUAGGGAUGAUACAACAAACAAACUGAUAUAUGCAUUGGCAUUAGUAUAAAAGAAGGAUUGUGGGCUUGCAAGGUAGCUGAUUUGUAGUAUUGGAAGUAAGCAUUUUUCAUAAUUUUUGCUGGUGCAAUCAUGCUGUGUAUACAAAAAUUCUUGUAUACAAAUUUUUGAGGCAAGCCCAAACCAGCCUCUUCAAUUCUCUUAGUUUGAUGGCGUAUUAUGUUUUGUACAAGUGUUCAUGUUCUUGUCACUGCUUGACAAAUGUGUUAGUAAGGACCCGUCAUGUAGCAUCCACAAAUUUUAUUUUACUGCCAAAGUUGAGUUUGACAUAUGUUGCUAAUUGACUUGCUUUUUAAAUGGCACAACAUAUUCUUCUCAAUUUUGUGUAGUAUCCUCUCUUAUCUUGCAGCCCAAGAUUUCACAUUCUGCUGAAACGUUGUCCCAUAAUUUCCCAUUUAAUCCCAUAUGAACAUACUGAUAUCUCUUUUUCCUUUUCCCCAAUAGUUUUCGUUUCUUUGUAUAAUAAUGGUAUACAUAUUAAAGGUGUUGUCUAAAGUGGACGUGGUCUACACUACAUUGAUCAUCAUAUGUCAAUGUCACUUUGUUCUUCACUUUUUCUUUUUUGCUGAAAUUAGUAUACAUUGUAUCGGCUAUAUUUUGACAGAAACCAUAAUUUCCAUACAGCUCACAGUUGCAGCCAGCAUGGGUCCAAUUCUUGCCAUAAGUACUUCUGGUAUACACAUCAAGCAUGCUGAACGACUGGAGAUGCCAAUUUUUUUUUUGGUACCAUCAAUUACUAAGAAAUUUGUAAAAAUAAUAGUACUAUCAAUCACUAAGAUAUUUCCUACUACUCCUACCACUUUAACUUUCUUAAUAUCAAUUACCAAAAAAUUUAAUACCA